ensembl:lincRNA
UUGCACCAGGGUUCUUCAGCUUCUCCCCCCAUUCUCUACAGGUGUGUAGCUAGAAAGGCCUCUGAGGAGCUGCGGGCCAGGUUUGUCUCUACUAGAGCAAGAGAUACGGUCAACUUUGUCAUCGAUGCUUUCAGGUUGAGCUCUUCAAAGGUAAGUUCCAGUAUAGAAUCUUGCAUUGCAUGCAUUAUUUCCUUGAUCUCAUUUUAUAUUGGUUUUGCACAGAAUGAGCAUAUUCCUUCUCCUCUGCAGAUUUAUAUGCACUGUGUCCUGGCUGUAGUGAAUGACAAAAUAACAGAAGGCAACAAGUUGUGCAACUAUAAUCCAGCCCGAAAGAGGCAAGUUGUUGAUUUUUAAGCAAAUUGGUUCAGAUUUUCCUGGACUAGUGUCGCCCAUCUGUGUUUUAGUUGUGCUUUAAGAUGUGGGUCUCCUUACUGCUAUACUAACCCAGUUGAGCUUUGGGGAAUUAAAGGUUACAUGAAUCAAGGGCCCUAACCUCUCUGUGUUAUUGUGUACCUGUAUUGCAGAUGGGAUGAGCUUAAUGGUGGCCAUGCAGCCUGUAAGUGCUGCAGGGGAAAAUGCAGAGAUGCAGUUCUGAGAUCCUUGCCAAAAGACACCAGAUCCACAGUCAGUACUGGGCCUCUAGUGAUUGUAGGCCACCCUGCCACUUCCACAAAGGCCAAAUGGGAUACCAAGCCUUCAUGGCAUCGGAGAGAUAGUGCAGGCAUCUAUACCCCUGCAGAGGCAUGGUCCCUGGGGCAGAAGGAGAGGGGCAAUGGGGCAAGGUUGCACCAAGACUUUGAAGAGGCUGGUUGGAGCCCACUGACUUGGGGAGAGAAGCUUUCUGUGCCCGACAAUGAGCUUCCUUUUGAGGAUGGUGGAAACCUGUACAAUAAAAUCCUUUUUAUGGGAGAACUGAAUGACCCUUUUGAAAACCUGGGUAAAGUCCAAGUGCAGGGGACUGAGAGCAUGGAGGGGUUUCAGCAGGAUUGGAGCCUGUUUUCCCCAGAAGGCAAACUGGACGAGAGAGACCUCCUGCAGCAAGAGUGGAACCUGCCUUUGGAAAUGGAAAAGGAGCUUGAGGAUGUGACCUCGCUCGUGGUGGAUCGUGAACGUGACUGGAAUUCUGUCGGAGAUACUCCUGGCCAUUUGGAGUGGCUUCCAGGGGAUGAGCCGAAGUGGGAAGAGCAUCCCGAUUUGGAGCUGGACUUCGUGUUGUCUUUGCCGGUACAGAGUGAUGCUCCAGAGAGCUUUGGGACUCUGUUUCCACAUUCAAGCCCAGAAGGGUUUUUUAAAGCCUGGGCUCAGGUGCCAAGUGACUACGAGAGGCAUGACCGCAAAAGGGUUGGGGACUCGAAAUGGGGUUUGGAUGUGUUUGAGAAACCAAGUAAUCCUCCAGUCGUUGAUGUGGCAUUCCUGUUUCCCAGUAGAAAGGAAAUCCAAUCUGCAAAUGGAGUUAACCUUGAUUCCACUUUCAAAGGAAGAAGGCAGGGUGUGAAGCCAAGGAUGCCCAAACUAGAAACUCCAAAGAUGAACAAGUACUUGGCUCUUAAGGAUGGACCUGCACAACCUCUGCCUUCAAAGCAGAAUGAUAAGCUAGGAUAUGAGUCAUUGGUGAUGUGGAGCACUGAAUGGCUGGGAAUAGAAUCUCAGGAACUUAAGAGCCCUUCUCCACAACGGAAGGCCAUCUCUUGCAAGAACCAGAACAUCAAUUCUAAUGUGCCAGGAGUUUUCCUCUCUCGCUAUGUGCGGACUCUGACUCCAGGAAGGGCCAGAAGCCUUCAGUAUGAAGUGGUGUUCGAGGAGGACAAUGGUGUACCUCCCAAGUGGAGAAGAGUGCACAGGCAGAGUGGGAAGAGCAGGGCACCAAAUCUGAUGGAUCUGCUGGGGUUAUCCAAGGCAGAGUAGCCAGCUGUUUCCCCUCACUGGUCUGUCUUCUAAAGGGCUCAAUGCCUACAUUGUACUGUGAAGUAACUUAAUAAAAGGAAAACUGUUGAAAGA